UACGGAGGGUGCAAGCGUUAUCCGGAUUCACUGGGUUUAAAGGGUGCGUAGGCGGGCAGGUAAGUCCGUGGUGAAAUCUCUGAGCCUAACUCAGAAACUGCCAUGGAUACUAUUUGUCUUGAAUGUUGUGGAGGUAAGCGGAAUAUGUCAUGUAGCGGUGAAAUGCUUAGAUAUGACAUAGAACACCCAUUGCGAAGGCAGCUUACUACACAAAUAUUGACGCUGAGGCACGAAAGCGUGGGGAUCAAACAGG
rnacentral:rRNA from 1 species